GUCAGCAUGGUGCAGUGGGUUGAGUGUUGGAAUACAACUCCAGAGGCCAGGGUUCGAAUCCCUGCUCAGCCA